GAUGAACGCUGGCGGCGUGCCUAAUACAUGCAAGUCGAGCGAACGGACGGGAAGCUUGCUUCUCUGAUGUUAGCGGCGGACGGGUGAGUAACACGUGGAUAACCUACCUAUAAGACUGGGAUAACUUCGGGAAACCGGAGCUAAUACCGGAUGAUAUUUUGAACCGCAUGGUUCAAAAGUGAAAGACGGUCUUUCUGUCACUUAUAGAUGGAUCCGCGCUGCAUUAGCUAGUUGGUAAGGUAACGGCUUACCAAGGCAACGAUGCAUAGCCGACCUGAGAGGGUGAGCGGCCACACUGGAACUGAGACACGGUCCAGACUCCUACGGGAGGCAGCAGUAGGGAAUCUUCCGCCAUGGGCGAAAGCCUGACGGAGCAACGCCGCGUGAGUGAUGAAGGUCUUCGGAUCGUAAAACUCUGUUAUUAGGGAAGAACAUAUGUGUAAGUAACUGUGCACAUCUUGACGGUACCUAAUCAGAAAGCCACGGCUAACUACGUG
rnacentral:rRNA from 1 species